GCCAACACAAGCAGAAGAGGAAGCAUCAGCAUGAGCAGAAGAGGAAGCUGCAGCCAACACACAGAGACUAGAAGAGAAGCGGAACAAAGCAGCAGCCGCACCGUUUUUAAAAGAGCCAAUCGCUUCCUCUCACGGGACAGGGAACAGGAAGAUGACAGUCCUUCUGCUCCCGUGCGCCCAUUCGAGAGAGGACACCCUCUUCCAGUCAACCACAGUCCUGAGCGUAAAGCCACCAUCCCCUUCCAAAACCCAGACUUGGGUCUCCCAUCCUAUAGGAGGCGCUCCGACAAUCUCAGCAAUGAGGCAAUGAGCGCCCUCUCCCCCCAGCGGCACAUGUCCUAUUCAAAAUUCAGACGUUGGGACAGCCAAUCUCGUGCAAGCACUCACUCUGGCAGUCCGAGAUCUAUCAACGUCUCGCCGCAAAGGCUAGGGGAAUCACACAGUCCGUCCCAUCGCCGAGGUUCCACUGUGCACGGUCACCAGACGUCCCACACGUCCUCUCAGCAGGCUUCUGGGAAAUGCACUCCAUCACGAAGACGAGAUUCAGUGGCCACGUGUCCCUCACAAAGCUCGGGUCCGAAUAAAUAUGGGGAAUCAUUUAGCCCCGCCCACAAAAGAAGCCCUUCCCAGAGCUCCUACGGCCACAGCUUGGAUUCUGAAAAGCUGUAUAAGAAUCUCAAAUCAAUUGCAAGUUCAGCAGAGUCAGACGCCUCUGAAGAAAGGACCGGCUGGUCAAAAAGACAUUCUGAUGUGGAAAUCGACGGCGAUUAUAAUGAACGCAACCACAGUGGUCUUAAUAGUGGUCGCAGCAGUCGAAAGAGUGGGGGCCGCAAUACUGGCUACAGCAGCAAGGAUUUCUCUCCAACAGGAGGCUACUGUGAUGACAAAACAAGCCACGUCAGAAGCAACAGUGUUAUUAACAGCCCUGGUGCCUCAACACCUUACCAAGAUUAUGAUGAACAUGGUACACUAAAAAACGGUACUUUAAAAAACAAAAGCCGCAGGAAUGGCGGAUACUCAGACACCUUGGACAAACAAUCCAGAUCUGAUUCCCGCCAAUCUCUGAGCCCCACCCACUCCCCUCUAAGCCCCGCCUCACCUGCAUCAACACCAAAAAUCUCUCAAUCAAUGUGGAGAUGGAAUCAGGUUCCGUCCCCUGAUUCGCCCAAAUCCCACGCCUUAACUGCAGAGAAGUCGGUCAAUGAUCAGAGCAGAAGCAGCAUUAAGCGGGGCUAGGAGGUGCUAAUUCUUUCAGAGAACACCAGGUCUCCCAGUCAACCAGCAGUGCCAGAGAUGACCAUUGAGGACUAUGUGAUCAUAGCCGAUAUUCCACGAUUUAUGCUGUACCCUGAGGAAGAAGAAGCAAUAACAGUCAGGAGGAGGCCACAGAGCCGGAGCCCACGCAGAGACAAUCAGCACAGGUCAGAGAUUUGAAGAGAGAUGGAGAGUGGUACCACUUUGCACUGACAUGGUCCUGGUGCUGAUGCAAAAGCAGAUGCCUAAUCUGAGCAUUUUCACAGAAAAAAUGGUGGCUUACGGAAAGUCCCAAUACAAGUUACUACAAUCCCUUAUUUACAGCUUCUAUCUUAAUUAUAAUUAAAUAACUUGUGACCAAUACAUCAGUGUUAGCAGAAGUUUG
ensembl:lncRNA